AAAAUCCCAACAGGAGUUGUUGACGAGGGUGAGGAUAUUUUCGCAGCAGCCAUUAGAGAAGUGAAAGAAGAAACAGGCAUCGACACAGAGUUUGUGGAGAUUCUAGCUUUCUGUCAAACCCAUGAGUCAUUUUUUGCCAAAUCAGAUUUAU